rnacentral:rRNA from 1 species
GACGAACGCUGGCGGCGUGCUUAACACAUGCAAGUCGAGCGGAGCGGCGAACGGGUGAGUAACGCGUGAGUAACUUCCCCCCUCUCUGGGAUAACCGUUGGAAACGGCUGCUACUACAGGAUCGUGGGGGAUGACUCGCGUCCUAUCAGCUUGUUGGUGGGUGAGUGGCCUACCAAGGCGAUGAAGGGUAGCCGGCCUGAGAGGGAGACCCGCCAAAUUGGGCGGAAAUACGGCCCAAACACCUACGGGGAGAAGCAGGGUGGAAUAUGGCACAAUGGCGGAAACCCUGAUGCAGCAACGCCGCGUGAGAGAUGACGGCCGUCGGGUUUGAGACCGCUUUCAGCCAGGACGCGGUAGUUGCAGAAGAAGCACGGGGCAGCAACGUGCCAGCAGCCGCGGUAAUAC